rnacentral:misc_RNA from 1 species
UGAGAAAUGGAGGAAGCAACAGAUGCUGGAGCUGGAGGUGUAUUCGAAGAGAUUGGAACUUGUUCAGGAUCAGGUGAAAGCACAAUUGGAGGAGCUGAGAUCAAUGGGAAGUAACACUUGAAAAUGUUGCUUUUCUAAUGUAUACAACUUAUUGAAAUAAUUCUAGUUGAUAAUUUUACCCCAGGAUGUUAAUGACAGUGGAUGGUUUAGGUAAUGUAGUAGGCUUUUGGUUGCUAAAUAAUGACUUCUAAUAUUAGUUUUCAGUCAGCUGCCUGUUUGCAGACUUCGUUGCAACAUAGAUGUUUCGUCUAUUUUGUAAAUAGAAAUGGA